rnacentral:rRNA from 1 species
GCUAUUUGGGUGAGGAUAAGCCAUGCGAGUUGUAUGGGAUCCCUAAAGUUCCCAUAGCAAACUGCUCAGUAACACAUGAUCAACUUGCCCUAUGGAGAGCACUAACCUCGGGAAACUGAGGAUAAUGGCUCAUACUUGAUUAGGCUUGGAAAAGUUUUUCAAUGAAAGGCGUAAGAAAAAUGGUUCUUAUGCGCCAUAGGAUAGGAUCGUGCUCGAUUAUGGUAGUUGGUGAGGUAACGGCUCACCAAGCCGAUAAUCGAUAGGGGCCGUGAGAGCGGUUGCCCCGAGAUGGGUACUGAGACAGCGACCCAGGCCUUACGAGGCGCAGCAGGCGCGAGACCUCCGCAAUACACGCAAGUGUGACGGGGUUACCCAAAGUGUCCUUAUUGGACUGUGGCGGGUGAGUAAUGUUCCCCGCUAGAAAGGAGAGGGCAAGGCUGGUGCCAGCCGCCGCGGUAAAACCAGCUCUUCAAGUGGUCGGGAUAAUUAUUGGGCUUAAAGUGUCCGUAGCCGGUUUAGUAAGUUCAUGGUAAAACCGGGCAGCUUAACUGUCCGUAUGCUAGGAAUACUGCUAUGCUAGAGGGCGGGAGAGGUCUGAGGUACUACAGGGGUAGGGGUGAAAUC